UCCCUCUCUCUCUCUCUCACUAAACCCUAAUCCUAGCAGCUGCCAUCUCCCUAGAAAUCUGGUUGCCUCUCAUUGCUCUCUUUCUCUCUCAUUGUAGAAAAUAAAGAAAAAAAAAAGUAUCUUCAAUCGGAGGGGGAUCGAUUGAUCUGAUAUGGUCUUCAAUUGAAGAAAAGAUUAUAGCAUGGCAAGCCAACAAGCAAAGUAGCCACAAUUGAUCUACAAUCACAGUCACUGUCAUGGUUAGUCUCUUGCAUUAACAGCUUGCUUGUACAGAUUUUGCUUUAUUACUAUCGUUUUAGCUGGGUUUCUGUGAUUGUAUGAUAUAAAAGUUCAUUUGUUCGAACUUCAUAUGAUUAAAUCAAGAGAUAUGGACAUGAAUGUGUAUAUUAAUGUUCAAUUUAUUAGAGAAAUGUGGUUCAUUUGAUAUCA